GAGGAGCUCGACUUUCCUGUUAAAAUACCCUGACUUUCCUGUCAAAAGAGCGCUAGAAAAUGCUGCCGCCGCGCCGGAGCCAGGCGGUGGUGACGGAGCGGACCCGAAACCUGCCGAGCCGCUGCGCCUCCCGCCUGCCCAAGUGCAUCCCCUCCCAGCCCCUUUCACAAGCGCAGGGGCUCAGCCGCAGCCCUCCCACCGGGCAGUGACAAGAGGAAACACGUGGUAGCCGGAGUAUUGGGUCCCGAGGUUAGGGAAACAAAACGUUUUUGCUUGGACCUCAGAUUGGCAGUAGGCAGCGGGGCUUUUCACCGUCCGGAUGAAAUACGGGGAAAUGGGAGUCGCCUGGGAUGGGCCCUGCAGCUCGCCCUGAGCGGGGCGUGCGGGCCCGUCUGGCCCGACGAGAGCAGGCGAGGUCCAGGCAGGCCCGAGCUCAGCAGGCUGACUGUCCGACCACGGCGCCUCGCCAGCAUUACAAGUGUUUUCUCCUGUAAAUUACAGGUAAGAAAGUGAAUUAUCACUGAAAACAGUAAGAGACCCUCAUUUGCAGUUUUCAGCACAACCAGCACAGUGAACUGUUCUGACUUUGCUUGCAGACAGCUGGGACUUCUUUCCACAAGGUCUCAUCUGGAAUACAGUGGACAGAAGAGAUCAGAGGUACUGCAGAUCUAUAAUGGUUCUUCAAGCCUUAUUUAAUCUACAGGUAAAGCUCAUAGGAUUUGCAGUAUGAUGAAAGAACAGGCUAACAUUAGACAGCAAUCCCAGACCCCAGUCUGAGGAAGGUGAAGAAAUCAAGGAAGGGAAACUCAGGAUGCCAACAAAAAUGAUGAAGAGUUUUACUCUGCAGUUGAUAACUGCUUUUUAAUCUAUAUCUAUUUUAAACACAGUAUGCAUUAAUAACUGCAGCACCCUAACAUGCUAAUAUGCUAAGAAAAUACAGAACUUCCCAUUUCCUUUCUAAGUGAAUUUGACCUUUGUCACUACUCAGAUUAGUAUGUUUGGCUUACAUUUUAGAAGAAAGGACAUUAACUUGUGUUCUCUCCACUGUGGAUAGAGUAAGAGCCUAUGUAAUGACAUGUCAGGUAUAUAAAUCCACAUCAGGACACCCAUCCCCACAGAAAUAGGCACUACCUUCCUCCUCCCACAUUUGCUGUCAGCAACACGCAGUAGCAUAGGAGCUUUCAUACCUCACCUCACUGCUGGAGGCAUACCUCCCUGGCACUGCUAGUGUGCUUCUUCCACUUCUUAGCCUAGGGAAUGGCAAGGACAGCCAUUGUGUCCUGCAGUUUGACUGAUGCCCCUCUUCACUUCUGCAACAUCUGUGAAUUCAGCUGCAGACAAAUUAUCUACUGUAUAUUUUAUUAUAACAUCAAAGUGAAUGCAUUGUAGGACACUGGCAUUUAAAAAGAAAAUCUUGAAAUGGUUUAAUACAUAUAAAAGUGUAUUUAUACAUUGUCUUGUUGACAAAAAACAUGUAAGUAAGUUUAGCUCAGAACUUUAAAACUCAAUGGUUUCUCAAGGGUAAAAAAAAAGCUCAGAAAACUAAUAGUUACAACAACAAUUUUUUCAUAUAAUUUUUGUUCAUUUUGCACUUUACCUCACCUUCUCAAUAAACACUUCUUCUUCUUUUGAGAAGACCUUUGGUUUACAUUUCACUCAGAAAAAUUAAAAACACAGAAUAUGCAUUGCGUUUAACCUACAGUAUUAUAAAGUACCAUUACAAACUAAUUUUCAUUGUUCUCCCCCUAACCUCAGUAAAUCUUCUUUAUUUGAGUCUUUCAGGAGCUGCAGUUCUUCUCACAAGCUGGUGACUCCUGUCAUUCACAAUUGCUAAUGAGUAUGCACAGUCCUUGACUUUGUUUCUUUAAAGGGACACUGUACGAAAUGGCAUCUGUAUUAGAAGAUCAGGAAGGUCAGAAAGGAAAAACCCUAAUUUCGCAAUAUUUUAACAUACAAUGCCUGUGGAUGUUCUGAAAACCUGACAGAACUGCAGCAUCUGUGCAUGUACAAAAGAGCUUGGAAGUGAACAAUUUACUGCUUUUUCAUUAUUGAGAAAAGUAUUACUUUUUCAGUAACAAUGAGGCCCUUAAAUGCUCCUUAAAGCAGUACCAGGUAUAUGCAUACACACUUCUCAUUAGUAAAUCCUGCAUAUAUUUUCCUGACGGUAUCCAAGGAAAGUCUAAAUAAGAAUAUUAAAUCAUAUUCCCACGAGUCUCUUCUAAAUUCAAAAUUACACAUCUGCACAGCAAAUCUCCAUUAACAAUAUUUUUCAGUGUAAUGCAGUACAAAAUUGAUACAUAUGUAAAUUAUUUCACUUGCAGAAUUACAAUGACAUACUUUGUGUUCUUUCUGUACAAGAAACAUCCCCAAGUCACUCAUUAAAAGUGGUGAGGCCACUUAGGUCAAUGAUAUACAGGCAGCUUGAAAGACGCUGGCAUUUUAAGUGGCAUGUUUAGAGUUUGUCUAUGGUUGUAUUCUUCCUGUAUUUCUUAAUAAUUAGCUGCAGGAAGGUACGAUACAUUUUACAUUUGUAUUUUACCUUUCAUGUGAAAAAAACAUGCAUUGCAGCCAGGAAUAGCUGUGCCACCUCAUAGACGGUUUGACCUUGUCUUUGCUGCCCUUGAUCUUUCUGCAGGGUUUCUUUAGUUUGUGAAUACACAAGGCAAAAGUGGACUUUAGUGAGGUUAAGACUGAAAAGCCCUUACUGAUCUCCUCAAGAUGUCCUCCCUUUGUGAUCACGUUGGCAAUCACUUGAAGAACUGCUUGAUUCUCCUCUUGAGCUUUUGUGACUUCUAAAAGUGUAAAACAGAAAAACACAUAAUAGAAUCUUGGGAAAACAUGAAAUGCAUAAAUACAUAAAUAUUGGCAUUUAAUAGUGGAAUUCUAAACAGAAGAUCACUUUAUGAAACCUUUCUUUCCAAAAAGCUUGCUUUAGUCAUGUCUUCAGUACGCCAAGUUUAGAGUGAUAUUUGGUUUUCUUUUUUUCUUUCUUUCUUUUUUUUUUUGUUUUUGUUUUUGUACAGUUUUCAUUUGGGGAAAGAUGUUUUGUAACAGCUAAUGUUGCUGUCACAUCUCCUGUACAGUGCAGUACAUUGCCUUUCACUUCAGUGAUCUGAUAUGACCUUUUACUUGUUGAGGAAGAUAUAUACUGACUGGUAUCGCUUUUUUUGCAAGAUAUUAGUGAAGAUGUUUUCAUUUAUUAAAUUCAAGUUUUAUUUGGCUUUUGGUGAUUCUUUCGUUCCAGCAGAGAGUAUCAUAACUACUUGAUUCUAAGGUAAAAGUCAACAAUUAUUUGAUCCCUCAGGCUUGCAAAUUAACAUU
rnacentral:lncRNA from 1 species